rnacentral:lncRNA from 1 species
GGCCGGUUUACGCAUAAAAGAAAACAUGCUUACAAUAACACAAAACCUGUUAACAUCUGUAUUCCAUCAAAUAAUCCUAAAACUGAACUUGCUCCUAACAAACACAAACAUUUCAUCAAAGUUCAUCCAAACUUCUAGCAACAAACUUCAACAUACAAUCCCAUAUUUUCAUACAAAUACAAACAAAUUUCAAUACCCAAUUGAUUAAUACAAUUGGAAAUUACAUACCAACUAAUCAACUACAACAUUCAUUCUGAUUUUAUCAAAUUAAUGCAAAGAACAAAAAGCCAAACAAACACAUUACUUCUUAUUCUUUUGCAAGGCAUUUCUGAGAGAGCCAUUAACCAUAUACUCUGUCACUGUUGACACAGAACCUCUCGAACCAUCAAGCACAACACCAUAGAAGCUACCACAUUGAGGUGGUGCAAAUCAGCAAGUUUAAUGGCCUCGUUCUAGAAAUCAUCUCUCUGAUUGAAUACAAAAUCUAUAACAUAGGUGUUUAUACCGUAUAUUAACGACCAAUGACCACCUGACACGUGGACGGAAACGACAACUUGACAUCACAGGCCCUUCGGCAUAUCUUCUACCGAAUCCGACACAUUCCUGACACUUUUGACCUAGGACACGUGUCAUGCUCACGACCAGCUCCUACAGGCCCACAUCGGAAAUAUAAACAUAAUGCACGCCUCCCAAGGCCUAUAUAAGGAGACCUCUAUUCCCAAAAAAGGGGGAGAACAAUCAACGGUACGCUAUCGCUUGAUCUGUAAUAUGACAUUUACUAAAUCCGUACUUAUUUAAGCAUCGGAGAGCCUUCGGCCGGUACCGCACCGGUACCCCAAGGUCUUACCGAACGUUCCCUUUUUGCAGGAACUUGACCUUCCGAAGACUAACUACCUUCCGAAGACACAAUAUCACUAAGUUGGGCGAACCACGUGUCAAACCACUUUUUCGCAUCAACAGUUUGGAGCCGUCUGUGGGAAACGAAAAACAAUUAACCCACUAUCCCCUAAACACAUGGGGACCACUUCAAUACCCACUUUUCUAUCGGAGGACGGGGCACCGUUCGGAAGGCAAGCUGGGGCUAGCCCAGCGCUACCCCCAUGCACUCCCUACGGAAACACCCCCUCAACCCAAACAACCGCCGAGGCCGAGCUAGUAGCCCAAAUCGCAUCCCUGCGAAAGGACAUGGCUAGGCUUCAGGAGCACAACCACCACCUUUCGUCCAAAGUGGACGAAACCCAACGGCAGCUGCACCAGCAGCACCCGCAGAACAUCCAGACGACUCACUCUUCCGAAAGCUUGGGAACCCCUCAUAGGAGGAGGCACCGAAGGGCAGCAAGGGCAACGCCCGCGCCCUCCAAACAACUGGUGGUGCCGACACCUAGGGACCAACCACAUAUACCGAAGAAGGUCUAUUCUGACUGCCGACACCGGCUUAAUGAUCGGGAGGGAGAGAGACAGAGAUCCCCGAUCAGGAUUAGCGCUCGACUACGGGAAUCCCGGAUGAACGCCGGGGGAAGUAAGUCACCUAUUCGGAAGGUCCAAGGAUUGAACUCCACGGAGUCGGCAUCCGAGUAUAUCCCUUCCGAUGCGCAAACGUCCACCUACCGUUCGGUAUCAACUCAAUACUUGGGGGAUAACUCCGUGAGCCCGCGAAGGCGCUUGGAAGACUAUGAUGCCGAAGGAAUCCCAAGCCGAGACCCUGUUGUCCGACUCCUUUUUCAGAAGGUCCAGAAAAUGGAAAACGACAAGGCUCGCUCCCAGGAACCUGAGUGGGGAAAGCUUCGGCCCGGGCCGUUCACGAGACGCAUCCGUCGCUCUCGGCAGGAUCGGGAAGUGCAGCCAUUGCGCAUACCAUUCUACACUGGUACCGAAGAUCCUUUAACCCACCUUCAUUCAUUUCAGUCUGCCAUCGGAUGCAAGGGUCUGAGCGACGAGGGGCAGUGCCUGCUAUUCCCGUCUUCACUUACCGAGGCAGCCCUAAAUUGGUUCUACCGUCUGGAGCCGGAAACGGUGGAUUCUUUCGACGAGCUGAAGCAGAUCUUCCUCAAUCACUUCAUGAUCCAAACGGAUCGCCUUUACUCUGCCGAUGAUCUGUACACGAUUCGGCAGAGAGAGGACGAGCCACUGAGAGAGUAUGCGGCGCGUUUCAGUCACGAGUACUCAAGGUGUCCGGAAACAGAUGAUAGGGCAGCCUACGGCGCCUUCAAGAGUGGCCUUCGGUCCUCGCAUUUCCGAUACCUAGUACACAGCAGCAACUGGCGCACGUAUGAUGAGCUGAUGAAGCAGGCGGCGGUGCACGCCAAGGCCGAGUACUUCAACUCAAAACCAAGCGCUUCGGCACGCCGAGAGGAUGCAGAGCCAAGCGCUUAUCCGGCGAAGGCGCCAUCCUACGAAAGGGCCGACUCAUAUUCGGCGGGCCAUAAGCGGAAAGACAACCGUGCCGAUCGAAGAGAUCAGCCAAAGAAAGGGAAAGGGCGGUAUGGUCGCAACGACAACCGAGGACCCCUGCCCAACCGUGACCACGGCAACGAGGUCUUCACCCUGCUGAAUACCACGUAUGAAACCGUUCUGAUGAACGAACAGGAGGCCAUACCAAAGCCGAAUGUUAGAAGACCCAAUCGGCAAGACAACCGGGAGACCGGUAAAUUCUGCCGAUACCAUCAGCACAACAGCCACAACACGGAAGAUUGUAUAAGUUUGAGAAAGAUUGUGGAGCGGCUGAUCCGAGAAGGGAAACUGGACCAGUAUAUCGCCCGGCCGCCACGGCGCCGGUGCCGAACCCUCCUCGGCAGAUAAACAUGAUCAGCACUAUCAGCGGAGGACCUACCGUUGCGGGGAUGAGCCACCGUUCGAUGAAACAGUAUGUGCGUGCCGCGCAGUUUCCUCAGGUGCUCGGAAUAGAGGUGAAUCGGUUCCAGGAAACACCAAAAGUUCAUUGGGAGCCGAUCACAUUUUGCCAAGAGGAAGAAGAGGGAAUCCUCUAUCCCCACGACGACCCAAUGAUCAUCCGAGCUGAAAUUGCCGAUUACGAUGUAGGGCGAGUGCUGAUCGAUACCGGGAGCUCCGUGAGCGUAAUCUUUGCUGAAGCUUUCAGAGAGAUGGGAAUCAAUGACAACCAAGUCGACCGGCAGUUGACACCUCUGUUAAGCUUCUCUGGAGACCUGGUCCAACCGAUCGGUAGUGUCAGACUGCCAAUUACAUUUGGCACGGCGCCGAGAAAAACAACAACGUACGAUCAGUUCCUCAUCGUCGACUGCCCGACGGCAUACAACGUUAUCGUUGGCCGAACGGCACUGACGAGGAUCAAGGCGCAUCUUUCGCCCCACAUGCUGUUGAUGAAGUUCCCACCCCGAACGGCACGGGGGCAAUCCGGGGAAAUCAGUUGAGUGCGCGGACUUGCUACGCUACGGCGCUCAAGGCAACCUCGUUCAAACUCCCCAACGAGACCAUGACGGUGCAGGGUUUACCGAACGGUACUGGACCGGUUGACGACCCUAGAGAUGAAUCUCCCACCCCUCACACACAACCUGCCGAAGAAUUGGAGACCAUAACCUUGAGCGAUGAGCAGCCCGAUCGACAGGUUAGAAUCGGCACUAGACUCACUGCGAACCUCCGAACGCAAUUCAUAGACUUCUUGCGGCACCAUUCGGAAGUUUUCGCAUGGUCUUACGAGGACAUGCCCGGCAUCGCCCCGGACGUGAUUAGCCAUAAACUCACCAUCUCCUCCGCUUAUAAGCCCGUAAGGCAGAAGCGCCGAUCAUACGAUGCCGAACGGUAUGAGGCGAUGCGCACGGAAGUCGAAAAACUUCAAACCAUCGGUUUCAUCCGGGAAGCAACGUAUCCGGUAUGGCUUGCCAACUCCGUCAUGGUAAGAAAGUCCACGGGCGGGUGGCGGAUGUGCCAAGACUAUACCGACCUCAACAAGGCCUGCCCGAAGGACAGCUUUCCGUUACCACGGAUAGACCAGCUCGUGGAUGCCACUGCCGGCCACGAACUGCUGAGCUUUAUGGAUGCCUACUCCGGCUAUAACCAGAUAUUCAUGCACCCUCCCGAUAGCGAACACACCGCAUUCAUAACGGACAAAGGGUUGUACUGUUAUAAUGUCAUGCCGUUCGGUCUGAAGAACGCAGGGGCAACUUAUCAAAGGCUCGUCAACAAAAUCUUCGCCGGUUACAUCGGCAACAUCAUGGAGGUUUAUGUUGACGACAUGUUGGUAAAAAGCAGGACUGCCGAAGAACACCUGCAGAACCUAUCGAUCAUGUUCGGCAUCCUAAAAGACUACAGGAUGAGACUAAACCCGAAGAAAUGCGCCUUCGGUGUAUCUUCCGGGAAAUUCCUCGGAUUCAUGAUCAGUCAGAGGGGGAUUGAGGCUAAUCCCGAGAAAAUAAAGGCAAUCAUCGAUAUGGAGAGGCCGAAGACGACGAAGGACAUUCAGAGCCUUACCGGACGCGUGGCCGCCCUGACCCGUUUCAUAUCGAAAGCUACCGAUAAAUGUGUACCGUUCUUCAAAGCCUUGAAAGGGGGCAAACGGGAUAUCACAUGGACUGCCGAAUGCGAUAACGCAUUUCAAGCCCUGAAGAACUACAUGAGCAAAGCCCCCCUUUUGUCAAAACCGCUGCCUGGGGAAAUUCUCUACCUAUACCUUUCGGUAUCCGGAACUGCCGUCAGCUCGGUACUAAUUCGGAAACCAGAGAAGGCAGAGUUACCAAUCUUCUAUGUCAGCAAGGCACUCCAGAGAGCGGAACUUCGGUAUCCCCCAUUAGAGCAGCUGGCUCUAGCCCUUGUUGUCUCGGCACGAAGACUUCGGCCAUACUUCCAGGCACACGGGAUCAAAGUCCUGACCAACCACCCCCUCCGGCAAGUCCUCCAAAAACCAGAAAUUUCGGGCCGAUUGAUCAAAUGGGCGAUCGAACUCGGGGAAUUCGACAUACAGUUCGUUCCGAGGCCAGCGGAGAAGGGCCAGGCUGUUGCCGAUUUUAUCUCCGAGCUUACCCCAGCAACAGUACAACCGACAUCUGAGGCGAUUACCGAGACCAUCUUGCCGGAUCAACCAGGCGCCGAACGCCUUGACACAUCAACUCCCGUCUGGGGUUUGCACGUCGAUGGCUCGGCAAACCAGCAAGGAUGCGGAGCGGGCUUGGUGCUGACAACACCGGACGGACUCAAAAUCGAGUACGCCCUCCGAUUCGACUUCCGGACAUCCAACAANNNNNNNNNNGCAGGUUGGAACUGCAAUUACUCGAUGUAUUUGUUCUACUAGAAUUAAUAGAAAGCCCUCGGCACUAUUACUUUAGCCUCCCUUCAAUUAUCAUUUUUGCCCACGGCAACUAAAUGUUAAACAUCCUACGGCAUUCUAUACUAGCCUACGGCAAUGAAUGACCGUUCAAAUUUUUACCCUACAGAUCCCUUCGGGACUUGUCGAAAUUUAAACAUCCAACAGCGUCCUUAUUAGCCUACGGUAAUAAGUGACUUUUGAUCAGUAAUUAGCCUACGGCAAUUAGCAGUUAUAGCUUGUGAAAGCCGAUGAUUAGCGGUCUAUCGGCGAUUAGCCCACGGCAAUUAGCAAUUAUAACGCACUCACAUGGGUUAAAAUUUGAGAAUUGGACAAUUGAAAGUUGAACUUUGAAUUAUAACACAAACUUAAAUUAAACGAUGCCCUCGGCAUCAAUGUGUUCGAAAUAAAUAUUAAAAAUAAAAAUACAAAGAUGAAUGUAAAGAAAAACGCCCUCAGGCCGCGGCUUCGUCCCCGGCAGCGGCCUCGGCAGGCCCAGGACCUUCGGCAGCGUCCUCCCCUUCGUAAUCCUCGAUCAUAUCUUCAGUCAUUCCUUCGGGAAGGGGAGGGGGAUCGGCAGCAAAGUUGAGGUUCAGCUUCUGACCAGGGUUGUACCGCUUGAAUCGGUACAACAUGUCAGCCAUCUCAGAGCCCACCUCCUUAUCCAGAAGGGCAGCGAACUCCUCUGAUGAUCGGUACCCCUGGAUAGCGGACCGAACAGCAGCCUCGAUCUCCACCGCCUUGGUACGCUCACUCUCCUCCAGGGCGUCCUGGACCGCGUCUCCUCAGCCUUGGCCUCUGCAGCAAAGGCCCGCCGCUCGGCAGCCUCUUUGUCCUUCAGCAGAUCGGCGGCCUUGGUCCUGCCGUCGUCAUAGGCUUUUUUAGCCCGUUCGGCAGCAUUGAUGGCCCGCUUGACGCAGAGCCACAUCUCCAUGGACGCCUGCACAACUAACAAAUUCAGAAAGAAGCCCCACUUCAAAAAAAAAAAAGGGAAUGGAAUGACAAUAGAAGAAAAGCAUUCUUACCGACGCCUGCAGACGGAAGGCCCGCCCGGCCUGUUCCCGAAGAAGCUUCUUCGACAAUUCGUCAACCUCCGGCAGCUCCAUCUGAGAGCCGAGGAUCAUAUGGUUGACGAAUUGCACCGUCUUCGAGGGGCAGGCAAUGGUGACAGCCUCGGUAGGACCGUCCUCGUCCUCCGCCGCGAAGACAGCCCUCGUGGACUCCGAAGGACGACUCCGCUUGGAAGCUAGCGAAGCUUCCAGGUCUACCGUGAUCGGCCGCUUCCCGGCUGCUUUUGAGGCGGUGGCUUCGGCAUCUGACUGCCUCGGUGCAAUGGCACCGGCAGUUGGCCAUGCCACUGGUUCAGCACCCAGCUGCCGUAGACGCUCCGCAAGAGUUACGUCCUCGGGAUCCGUGGACGGCCGAACGGAAGGCGCCUCGGGCUGUUUCCUUUGUUUCUUGCCCUGCAGACCCAUCAUGAGCCGCCUCUUGGCCGACUCACUCAUUUUCUUGGCUUCGGCAGCCUUCCUUGCGUCAGUCACUGAUCAAAAAUACUCGGUCAGUCGGCAUGCAAAAUAAAUCGAUCAAGAAAAAAGAGAAAGGCACAGGUGUACUUACUCUUGGCAGGGCUGACGAGGCCGGCUCUGAUGAGAUUGCUGGUAAAAAGGAAUCGCGGGUAAACUCGCUCGGCAGCAGGGACCCUCAGCCUGACUCUGUCGAGCUGCCGAAUUUCGCUUUCCUUGAGGCUCGGUUGCUUGAGUUUACCUGCCGAAAGAAGAAUGAGUUACAAAACAGAGAAAGUAACAAGUACAAUAGUUGUUCUACCGACUGGUAACAUAACUACCUACCGGCAAUCUGGAACGCCGUAGGUACCGGAAACAGCGGGGAUACUCCCGACGGCGAUUCCCAAUCACCAGAGAGUACCACCCGCCGAUUCCUCCACGACUUUUGGGAAGUCGGCACCGAGCUGAUGAAGUGCCCCCCCUUAGAAGCCUUCAGGCAGUUCGCCUGAACCCAACCGCCGUGAUCGGCACUCUUGGACUUCGUGACGCUGUAUAGGUACGAGAAUUGCUCGUAGGAGGGCUCCCCCUCCCCGGCAAUCCCGAACGCAGCUAUCACCCCCAUUAAGGCCACCCAAAAGUUGGGAUUGUACUGGCCUGGGGCACACCCGAUCUGGGCUAGGAUCUUCUAGACAGCAGGCUGCAACGGCAGCCUGACACCCUGCGCCAACAUAUCGGUGAAGAAGACGACUCCACCAUCUCCUGGGUCGCUGAGGGAUUCGGUAGGGCUCGGAAUUCUCAUUUUCACAGAAUCCGGGAUGAGAUACUCCGCCCUAAUCUUCUCGAGCUCCCGUUCGGUAAGCUUGUUGGGCUCCAAAUAGUCGACCCCGAAUAGGGUCUUCUUCGGUACGCCCACCGGUAUCCUUGACCGCUCUCGAUGGACGAUCGUAACCCUCGCGCCCAGAGGUGAAAGCCUCCGGCUGGCGUUCGAAGGUACCGACGCGGGUACCAUCCCUAUAGACCGCGGCCAAGGGAAGAGGUUGCCCCGUCAUCAGUCCUUUGCCGACGCCGUGGACAGGAACGGAGGUCACCUCCUCACCGAUAACUUCCACAUCGGUGUCCCCUCCACUCUCGGCUCCGAGGCUCGCAGCCCCGCUGGACGUGUCCCAGCCCGAUGACAACUCCUCAUCGAAAGCGUUGGGCUCACUGCCGAAGGACUCGCUAGAAGACAUCUACAAAAAAAAAAAGAGAAAAAAGGAUGGCUAAGGCUCUGUAAUGAACUACCCUACCGAUGUCUACGCCACUACCUAUAGUUCACUAGACUACCGAAGGAGGGCCCCUAUAGACGAUCGGCUAGGCCUAUACUAUGAAAGCACCCGGAAAUAUAAAGAAAAAUUAUUAGGCUACCGAACGGUAACUUACUUUGGGUAUUGUUGAGACUUUGAUUGCCGUUCAGACGCUUCGACAAUCGCCUUGAUUGCCGAUAACCCCUUCGAAAAUCGCCUCGAUUGCCGUUCACACUCUUCUGAAAUCGCCUACGCAGAGCUCUCGCGUCACUCUCAAAUGCAAAGUGAGCUCUAUGUCUGGAGCGAUCUCUAUUUAUAGGGAGAGGGCUGCAACGGCACGCCUUGGGAAACCAAACAGCUCAUAAUUACAGCCGUCAGACGUCGCUUCGCUGGCCACGUGUCGCCCGGUGGAUGGUGAUGUCAGCUGCACGCCUGGUACAGAAGACGAAGCGUCUCUGCACGCCGGGUGCAGAAGGCGAAGCGUCUCCACGCGCCAGGCACGGGAAACGAAGCGUCCCUGCCUUCACCCCUCUCAGCAUCGGCGACCCUUCAGAUCUCAGAGGAGCCUUCCACAAACAAACUUGCCGAACGGCAGGGCAUCUAUGAACCCUCAGGGUGGAACCAAAUUCCCUUCCGAAGAACCUUCGGAAGAGAACUUGGGGGACUACUGUUUAUACCGUAUAUUGACGACCAAUGACCACCUGACACGUGGACGGAAACGACAACUUGACAUCACAGGCCCUUCGGCAUAUCUUCUACCGAAUCCGACACAUCCUGACGCUUUUGACCUAGGACACGUGUCAUGCUCACGACCAGCUCCUACAGUCCCACAUCGGAAAUAUAAACAUAAUGCACGCCUCCCAAGGCCUAUAUAAGGAGACCUCUAUUCCCAAAAGAAGGGGACAGAAAAUAACGGUACGCUAUCGCUUGAUCUGUAAUCUGACAUUUACUAAAUCCGUACUUACUUAAGCAUCGGAGAGCCUUCGGCCGGUACCGCACCGGUACCCCAAGGUCUUACCGAACGUUCCCUUUUUGCAGGAACUUGAUCUUCCGAAGACUAACUCCCUUCCGAAGACACAAUAUCACUAAGUUGGGCGAACCACGUGUCAAACCACUUUUUCGCAUCAACAAUAGGGACCAUGCAAGUGAGGUAUUAAUAAUAAAAAAUUAAUAGCUUUUGGAAACUAGUGCAAUGAAAAGACAAAUCAUUUAUUCUUCCAUAACCCAAUUCUCUCAUCUCUUUCCACACCUUGACAGACCCAAUCCCAUAUUUUCAUAAAUACAAAUAAUUGAUUAAUACAAAUCAAAUUAGAAAUUUCAAAACCCAAUUGAUUAAUUGACAUCUUACAAAGCAGAGUAAGACAACAAAAGAAAAACAACAACUGGGUAUGAUUCAAGAAUUGAAACAAACCUUAGUUCUAAGAGGGUGGGAUUGAAGUGGUAUGAGCUAUUUUCUCCAAGCCCCAUUGAGUAUCUCAGACAUGGUUUUGAAGCUGCGAAUUAAGAGGAACAUACAAGAGGCACAACUAGGUUUUCGAAGAAGGAAGAGAUGAGGUCAACAACUUGGAGGUGCUGAGGCUUAUAAUGAGAUAUGGCGGCUGCUUCGCUUAGGGUUUUUUUUCAGUUGAGGUUUGAGUUUUAGUUCUAGAGAAGAGACAGGCUUCGAAUUUGAGUGUAGUGGAGGGUUUUCUUGGUUUU